ensembl:misc_RNA Metazoa_SRP Metazoan signal recognition particle RNA
ACUAUCCUGUAGUCCCAGCUACUCGGGAGGUGAGGCAGGAGGAUUGCUUGAGCCCAGGAGUUCUGGGCUGUAGUGGGCUAUGCCGAUCGGGUGUCCACCCUAAGUUCGGCAUCAAUAUGGUGACCUCCCGGGAGCGGGGGACCACCAGGUUGCCUAAGGAGAGGUGAACCGGCCCAGGUCGGAAACGGAGCAGGUCCCUUGAUCUUCUAUAUGCAAAAUAUUUCCUGUUUUGCCUUUAUUUGCUGAGAGGAGAAGAGGGAAGCACAG